UGAAAAAUCAUGACCAUGGCCUCCUGUUCCCGCUUUGAUGCUGUGAGAUGAUCUCCUAAUCGUCGGAUGGAAACUAAGCAUCAAUGAGCCCCCACAAGGAACACAAAGCUAUCAGGCUACUCACUAGCCCCAACUGACUCUUACUCGUGAAGAAUCAUGACUAUGGCCUCCGGUUUGAUUCAUUAUUCUUCGUCCUCUGUUAUCCAUGAAUUGAAAGAUCACCGAUUUAUCCUGCUUUGCAUUUGAGAGAGGUAGACCUGGCACUGUAUAAUAGUUUUA
rnacentral:misc_RNA from 1 species